rnacentral:rRNA from 1 species
GACGAACGCUGGCGGCGUGCUUAACACAUGCAAGUCGAACGGAAAGGCCUCUUCGGAGGUACUCGAGUGGCGAACGGGUGAGUAACACGUGGGUGAUCUGCCCUGCACUCUGGGAUAAGCCUGGGAAACUGGGUCUAAUACCGGAUAGGACCAUGCUUUAGUGUGUGUGGUGGAAAGUUUUUUCGGUGUAGGAUGAGCCCGCGGCCUAUCAGCUUGUUGGUGGGGUAAUGGCCUACCAAGGCGGCGACGGGUAGCCGGACUGAGAGGUUGGUCGGCCACAUUGGGACUGAGAUACGGCCCAGACUCCUACGGGAGGCAGCAGUGGGGAAUAUUGCACAAUGGGCGCAAGCCUGAUGCAGCGACGCCGCGUGGGGGAUGACGGCCUUCGGGUUGUAAACUCCUUUCGCCAGGGACGAAGCGUUUUGUGACGGUACCUGGAGAAGAAGCACCGGCUAACUACGUGCCAGCAGCCGCGGUAAUACGUAGGGUGCAAGCGUUGUCCGGAAUUACUGGGCGUAAAGAGCUCGUAGGUGGUUUGUCACGUCGUCUGUGAAAUUCCACAGCUUAACUGUGGGCGUGCAGGCGAUACGGGCUGACUUGGGUACUGUAGGGGUAACUGGAAUUCCUGGUGUAGCGGUGAAAUGCGCAGAUAUCAGGAGGAACACCGAUGGCGAAGGCAGGUUACUGGGCAGUUACUGACGCUGAGGAGCGAAAGCAUGGGUAGCAAACAGG